rnacentral:lncRNA from 1 species
CUCCGAGCGCCGCGGCGCGCCGCACAUCGCCGCGUCGAGCCAUGAGCGACAAGAUCGUCGAGGCGCAGAAGGUGCGACGGACGACGCGCGCGCUUCGCGACGCGCGAAAACGGCGCGACGCGCCAUCGCGACGUCGGAUAAAGCGUCAACGAUUCGAUCGCGACGCGCUAGGGCUCGACCGCGAGCGACGACGCGCGCGCGGACGACGCGCGCGCGACGCGGACGACGACGCACCUCGAGGCGCGCUAGCGCUCGACCGAACGACUGACGAGACGCGCGCGCGGCGUCGCGGCGCCGCUCGACAGUUUUUUCAAUCCCGAAAGGGAUUCGUGCACCUGAAGCGAGGCGGCGUCGAUCGCGUCACGAGCGUGUUGAUACCCGUCGGCGCGGUGUGCGUCAUGAGCGCGAUGCUCGCGAAAGGUGCGCGAAACGUCAAAGCGCGGCCCGUCGACGCGCGUCGACGGCGCGACGGAAGCGCUUCCGUCGGUGGUUUCGAAGACGCGACGGAUGGGCGAGCGGGACGGGACGGCGAGACUGACGACGACGGAUCGACGCGCGAUCGAUCGCAGGCGUGAUGGAUCUCACCACGGGGCGAAAUAAGAAGGAAGGGUUCUGAUCGCGAUCGACGCGAACGAUCGAGGGCGUCGAGCGACGCGUUGUAAUUACAAUCGACUAGCGUAACCGAACGGCGCGACGGACGACGACACACCUCGACGCGACGCGACGUCGAUGCCGUCCGACGUCGUCGCGCGC